rnacentral:rRNA from 1 species
GAAGAGUUUGAUCCUGGCUCAGGUUUAACGCUGGUGGUAUGCAUAACACAUGCAAGUCGAACGUUCAUUCUCUAUGAAAGUGGCAAACGGGUGAGUAAAAUAUUAAUACAUACCUAUUAGUUAGACAUAAAGUAAUGAAAAUUACCUUAAUAUUUAAUGAAGGUUUGAAAUAAAUCAAACUAAAAGGAAGUAGAAUAUUCUAUUUUUGCUAGUAGAUUGGUUAAUAUCAGAUUAGCUAGUUGCUAGUCUAAAAUACUAACAAGGCUAUGAUCUGUAGUUGUUCUGAAAGGAAGUACAACCACACUGGGACUGAGAAAGGCCCAGACUCCUAAGGGAGGCAGCAGUGAGGAAUAUUGGACAAUGAGCGAAAGCUUGAUCCAGCAAUACCACGUGUGCGAAGAAGGUUUUACUGUAAAGCACUUUUUUUAGAAACUAAGGCCUCAAGUAGGUUUGAAUAUAUCUUAAGAAUAAGCACCGGCUAAUUACGUGCCAGCAGCCGCGGUAAUACGUAAGGUGCAAGCGUUAAUCGAUUUUAUUAGGCGUAAAGCGUGUGUAGGCUGAAGAUUGUGAAAAUUGUAAAAUAAUAGAGCUCAACUCUAUAAAGCAUUUUUUACUAAUUUACUAGAAGAUAGGUAAAGAUAACGGAAUUCUACAAGUAACAGUGAAAUGUGUAAAUAUGUAGAGGAACACCAAUGGCGAAGGCAGUUAUCUUAUCUUAAUUGACGCUGAUACACUAAAGCGUGGGGAGCAAACAGGAUUAGAUACCCUGGUAGUCCACGCCCUAAACGUUGUCAACUAACUGUUUAUAUUAAACAACUAAUUUAAGUGGUGAAGCUAACGCAUUAAGUUGACCGCCUGGGGACUACGAUCGCAAGAUUAAAACUCAAAGGAAUUGACGGGGACCCGCACAAGCGGUGGAUGAUGUGGAUUAAUUCGAUGCAACACGAAGAACCUUACCUACCCUUGACAUGUAUAGAGUUUAUUUGAGAGAAUAAAGUGCCUUACUUUUUUUUUACAAAGGAGGGAACUAUAACACAGGUGCUGCAUGGCUGUCGUCAGCUCGUGUCGUGAGAUGUUGGGUUAAGUCCUAUAACGAGCGCAACCCUUUUUUCAUAUUACUAAUUUAAAGUACAUUUGAAAGACUGCCAAUGAACAAAUUGGAGGAAGGAGAGGAUGACGUCAAGUCCUCAUGGCCCUUAUGGGUAGGGCUUCACACAUCAUACAAUGGCUGCUACAAAAAGAAGCAAACUUGUGAAAGUAAGCAAAACUUAUAAAAGCAGUCUUAGUUCGGAUUGUACUCUGAAACUCGAGUACAUGAAGCAGGAAUCGCUAGUAAUCGCAGAUCAGAAUGCUGCGGUGAAUACGUUCUCGGGUCUUGUACACACCGCCCGUCACACCAUGGGAAUAUAUUUCACCGGAAUUAACUUUUAACUAAGAUAACAAAGUGGGAUAUGUAACUGGGGUGAAGUCGUAACAAGGUAGCUGUAUCGGAAGGUGCGGCUGGAUU